rnacentral:tRNA from 1 species
GAAAUAUAAAUAUAAAGCUUCUAACUUUAAACCAUAGUGACAUGUCUCAUUAAUAUUUCU